GAAUUCGCUAGAGAUAGCUUAGUGCCUUCGGGAACUCUGAGACAGGUGCUGCAUGGCUGUCGUCAGCUCGUGUUGUGAAAUGUUGGGUUAAGUCCCGCAACGAGCGCAACCCUUAUCCUUUGUUGCCAGCACGUAAUGGUGGGAACUCAAAGGAGACUGCCGGUGAUAAACCGGAGGAAGGUGGGGAUGACGUCAAGUCAUCAUGGCCCUUACGAGUAGGGCUACACACGUGCUACAAUGGCGUAUACAAAGAGAAGCGAACUCGCGAGAGCAAGCGGACCUCAUAAAGUACGUCGUAGUCCGGAUCGGAGUCUGCAACUCGACUCCGUGAAGUCGGAAUCGCUAGUAAUCGUAGAUCAGAAUGCUACGGUGAAUACGUUCCCGGG
rnacentral:rRNA from 1 species